rnacentral:rRNA from 1 species
GCGCGAAAACUUUACAAUGCUGGCAACAGCGAUAAGGGAACCUCGAGUGCCAGGUUACAAAUCUGGCUGUCGAGAUGCCUAAAAAGCAUUUCAUAGCAAGGGCCGGGCAAGACCGGUGCCAGCCGCCGCGGUAACACCGGCGGCUCGAGUGGUAACCGUUAUUAUUGGGUCUAAAGGGUCUGUAGCCGGCCGGAUAAGUCUCUUGAGAAAUCUGGCAGCUUAACUGUCAGGCUUUCAGGAGAUACUGUCUGGCUCGAGGCCGGGAGAGGUGAGGGGUACUUCAGGGGUAGGGGUGAAAUCUUGUAAUCCUGGAAGGACCACCAGUGGCGAAGGCGUCUCACCAGAACGGACCUGACGGCAAGGGACGAGAGCUAGGGGCACGAACC